rnacentral:sRNA from 1 species
ACACGGGAAGGAGGUGGUCCGCGAGAUGAAGUCUUUCCGGACGAGUGAGGUGGCUGUCCGCUAGCCGCCCGACGCAUCGGACGGAUUGUCGAGUCCGCCGCUGCCCGGCCGGUCAUCCGGUCCGGACGGCAGCGAAUACCGGCAGUCACCGCAGCCCGUGGGAGCCGCGACCUCGUCCCUCGCGGCAGGGCCUCGAAAGAGGUACCGGCCCACGGGCUGUUCCCU